rnacentral:rRNA from 1 species
AAUGAACGUUGGCGGCAUGGAUUAGGCAUGCAAGUCGAGCGAGAAGUGUAGCAAUACACGGAAAGCGGCGGAAGGGAGAGUAAUACGUGGGAAUCUGCCCUUAGACCUGGGAUAGCAGCGGGAAACUGCUGGUAAUACCAGAUAAUGUCUAUGGACCAAAGGUGUGAUUCGGUCUAGGGAUGAGCCCACGUCCUAUUAGCCAGUUGGUAGGGUAAUGGCCUACCAAGGCGAUGAUGGGUAGCGGGUGUGAGAUCAUGUCCCGCCUCACUGGGACUGAGACACUGCCCAGGCGCCUACGGGUGGCUGCAGUCGAGAAUCUUCGGCAAUGGGCGCAAGCCUGACCGAGCGAUGCCGCGUGCGGGAUGAAGGCCUUCGGGUUGUAAACCGCUGUCGAGGGGGAGCAAGUUCCAUAGAGUUAUCUUUAUGGAUUGAGUGAUCCCUGGAGGAAGGACGGGCUAAGUUCGUGCCAGCCGCCGCAGUAACAC